rnacentral:lncRNA from 1 species
UUUAUUAGUCAUUUCUUAGAACUAACUUUUGGUUGUGUUAAUCUUUUCUAUUGUAUAUAUAUUUUCUAUUUUAUUACUUCUGCUUUUGUCUUUAUUGUUUCUUUCCUUUGGGCUUAUUCUGUUCUUCUUUUUUAACCUCUUAAGUGAAGUAGUCCCCUUAGCCAUAGAAGGAUGACUGGCCUGUGACUCAGCCUGCAGGCCUGGCACUGCUGUAUGACUCCCCUGCCUUCCAUUCCCUCUGAGGGUGCAGGGAGGGAGGCUGACUCCUACCCUAGAUGUCUCAGAAGGAAAGGGGAUUAGGGUUUCUUGAGGAAAGGAGGGCAGGGCAGGUCUGUCUAGGCAGUUGGAAACGUGGGAGUAACAGCCAGGUCGUCUUCCCAGCAGCCGGUUCCCACAGUUUUCCCAGAGCCAGGCUUGAGGUCACUUAGUCCUUAGGGUCAUGGGAGCAGGAAGCGCUGAGGUGCUAGGGGCCGGCUGGUGGGUUAGGCAGCCUGGUUCCCUAGGGAGGGAACCCGUGCAGCCCUGCAGGGGCACGGGAGGGAGGGCGCAGGGGAGGAGAGCACUCCGCCCACCCGCUGAGCUCCAGCUCCCUCUCCUCCAGCCCAUCCAGAAGGGAAUUCUGGCAGAACCACUUCUGGACCUGUCCCUCUGCACCCCCCAUUCCUGCGCCCUCAUUUAACCUCCCUGACUCUGACCUGGGCUUGGUCUAUCUUGGGGCCUGGCUGCCGUCCUGGGACGGGAAGGGGAGCAGAUCAGAACUCAGCCUGCGGCUCCAGGCCGCUGGGCGCUGGCUGGGCCUCACGUUCUCCUGGAAGGACCACCUCCCUUGCCCUCCACGGGGUCUGCCUUUGCUCCCAAGGCUCCGCCCUGGACGGAGCGUCCUUCUUGCCUGGGCGUCUUCAGACCUUCAUCUGUGACACCGGGGGCCAUGUGGCUCACCCCGAGGAAGAGACGAGGACUCGCUGUGUUGGCUGUUCUUGAGCUUCUGGGCUCAAGCAAUCCUCCCUCCUGAGCUUCCCAGAGUGCUAGGAUUACAGCAGCUUCUGUGAGCUGAGCCCUGGAGAUACAGGAGAACUCAGGACAGAGCCCCUGCCCUUAAGGUGCUUAUGGAAUGUGGAGUGUCACAGUGUCCAUCAGGUGAUCAAACAAUAAAGCAUAACAGCAAAAAAACAAAACCAAAGUGCUACGUGUUUUGAAGAAAAUGAAACAGGGUAAGGAAUCAAAAGUGAUUUGAGACUUGAAUGAAAAGGAGGAGGCCAGGAAGGCAAGAGGAGAGUGCAAGGUCUGGAGGAGCUUUGCAAGAAGGAGCAGCAAGUACAAAGGCCUGGCCCACAGGAGGGAGGCGCCUCCCAGGGCUGAGGAGAGGGCGGGGAGGCAGGUUAGGGAAAGGGGACACGUGGCCUGAUGUGCACUCCAGAGAGAUCACGCUGCUGCUCUCAGGGGGGUGGGGAGAGCCGUGUGGAGGCUGAUGUGGUUCACUGAAUGUACCAGGCGUGCACUAAGACUGUAGUAGUGGAGGUGGUGAGAGGUGGUUCAGGCUUGUGAUCACUUUGGAGGCAGUGCCAACGUGGCUCAUGGAUAGAGAGGGCCGGUGCGAGGGAGACACAAGCCCUGCUCCAGUCCUGCUCACCAGUUUUCCAGACCUACAAUGAUGCCUGGCACAUGGUCAACGCUGAUCAAAUAUUUGUUGAAUGGAUACUUCUUUUCAAAGAGCAAAAAAAGUAUCUGUGGGUACAGAUGUGUGUAUGUGUGUGCACGCACACACACACACCAGCCUCGCCUAGGCCCAGGGACAGAGCAUGCUCCGCCUAGGCCCUGCUCCUCCCAGGCCCUGGGGUCUGAGGCACAGCCCUGUGCACUCCCUGUCCUGGGCUUCCUGUAACGUGGAGAGGCCAGUGGUCUGGGAACUAGUUCGUUAACAGUUUGUGCAACCACGAGCAGAUCAUCUGACGUCUCGGUGUCAUGACUUAUGAGGUAGGAAUUAGCAUGUCUGCCUGAGCCCCCUCACGCCCACGGUGUGAAAGCACCAUGAAGGCAGAUCCGUCCCACGGAACAGGCAUUCUGUCUGAAAGCUCUGGGCGUCCUUUCCUGCCCACUUCAGGGACCCUGCCCAGGCUGACCAGGGCGGCAGAGGCAGCCCCAGCCCAGCCCAGUCCCGGA